rnacentral:lncRNA from 1 species
CACGCAUCUAAAUUUCAUAUAAUUUUUUGAGUUGACCUGUAAACAAUAAAUUUGAAACAAGAUAGUCGACGGAUUUAUUAUAAUUAUAUAUCCCCAUCAAAAUAUUGUUACAUAAAUGCAUGCUACAUAUUUUUCUUUUCCUUGAUUACAUUAUAUAUAUAACAAUCACAUGCACUUGUCUUUCAAACAACCACCCCCAUAUCUAGGUCGAAGUCGACAUUCAUCAAGGAGCACCAGUUGGCCGUCCAUGGACGCCGCAAAUCUGUGGCCCUCUCCUAUAAAUUUCUCUCACUAUAUCUAUAUAUGUAUC